CCUCUCAUGGCGUAGUGGUAACGCGCCCCAACUAGAGAUCGGGGAGUCGCGGGUUCGAUUCUCACUGAGAAGA
rnacentral:tRNA from 1 species